UCCGACGAGGCGGAUUCGAACCACCGACCUAAGGAUCUACAGUCCUCCGCUCUACCAACUGAGCUAUCGUCGG
rnacentral:tRNA from 11 species